rnacentral:tRNA from 1 species
CGCAGCAGGGAGGAGCUGGUCUCCUCGCCCGCCUCAUAAGCGGGAAAUUGUUGGUUCGAGUCCAACUGCUGCGA